AAAAGAGGACUACCAAUGGUUUGGGCAGUUGAUAGAAGAGUGUUUCUGCAACAUUAAUGAAAAACAACUCCAAACCCACUAGCAAAAAAUGAAUACGAGGAGACAUAUUACCUCAUGAAAAUGCCCCCUGCCCCCCAGACCACAAAAAUUUAUUGCAUAGAGAAAAGGCAAGCAUAUAUGCUUGAAUCACAUCAUUUGAACGUAUUAAAUGAAU
rnacentral:misc_RNA from 1 species